rnacentral:lncRNA from 1 species
UUUUAUUUAUUUAUUUAUUUAUUUGUCUUUUUUGUCUUUUCAGGGCCACACCCGCAGCAUAUGGAUGUUCCCAGGUUGGGGGUCCAAUUAAAGCUAUAGCUGCCAGCCUACACCAGAGCCACAGCAACGCGGGAUCCGAGCCAUGUCUGCAACCUACACCACAGCUCACGGCAAUGCUGGAUCCUUAACCCACUGAGCAAGGCCAGGGAUCGAACCCGAAACCUCAUGGUUCCUAGUCGGAUUCGUUAACCACUGAGCCACGACGGGAACUCUAUCAAUAACUCUGUUUUUAAAAAGGGGUUAAUCAUUUCCACUGAGGUCUGCUUGUUCUUCUGAUUUUCCUCAAGGCAUUUUCUUAAGGCGAUGAGUAUCCUGGAAGUUAAUCUAGACAUCUCUCUUUCCUUCCCCCAGUGUCCAAUUCUUCACCAGAUCUUAACUAGUCUACUUCCUAAAAUCUCCCUGACCAGUCCUAGUCUCUCCAUCCUACUGUCAUGCCCUCUGUCAGGGUCUCAUAAGUAUAAAAUUUCUCUAGAUAUGCCUCCCUGCCCUAAGGGUUGUGUAUGAAGGGAAUGGAAUUAGAACCAAUGGCAGGGGAUUAAUUGAGGGCUGCAUUUAUUUAUGUUUUAGUAACUUUCUUUUGCUUUUGGUAUUUACUUUAAAUGUUUUAGACAGUGAUAACAAUGUCAGGGUUCUACUCCCAUUACAUCUCUUCUUUACUUUUGAUCUUUCUUUCUCUCUUUCUUUCUUUUUUUUGUCUGUAUGUUGUUUUUUCAUAUUAAUGUGUUUUAAGCUAAAUGAAGGAACUAUAGAGAUUAUCUAACACAAAUUAACAUUUUUCAUCUUGUACCAGGGGAUCAUUUUAUUUCCUCCCUCUCCUUACUCACUUCCAAGUAACCAAAAUUCUUUAUUUUACAUCUUUAUUAGUGCAAGAAUUAGCAAAAUAUAUUUAUAUACAUAUAUGUAUAUUCUCUACACAUAUGUAUAAUUCUUUGACAAUAUUUAAUAAUUGUAAAUACUUGUGGCAACUACAAAUUGUAAGACUGAGAAAAUGCUGGGAAUAAAUAAAGUAUUUGGGGAGACGAUUUAUAAUUGAUUUUGGAUAAAGGAGAUUACUGUGAAGGUGAAGAAUUUUGCUAAUAUAGGAUAAUGUUGUAUUGAAAAGGAAUUGCGUUAGAUGAUCAGACCUAAUAACAAUGAUUAAUGCAUCAAACUGUUAAAAGACAGCUAUUUUAUAAUGACAAUUGUUCUUAUAUACUUGCUCAGAAGGUGAAAUGUACAACAUUUACAUACAAUAUUUAAGUGGCUGAAAAAGAUAAUUUUGGAAAACAUACGGUAGCGCCAUAAAAUUCGAACUGCUACUCAUUUAGUGGUUUUAGAAACGAUACUAGAUUGGCCUCACCACAUCUGAAGAACAGGGGUCCUCCCUUUUGCAAAUGUAGUCACUAGAUUUUUUUUUCUCCUAUUACCCAAGGAUGAUUUGUGAUAAGAAAGACAGCUCAUUAUAAGUUGACAGGAGUGUUCCUGUCUGCACAUAUGUGCAAUCUUACUGUAGGUGAGCCAUGAGAGUAGCCAGUGUAAAAUCAAAGUUUUGUCUGGCCAAUACAAAGAACUAAGGGAUUUAGGUGAUCUUAAAAAGUGUCUCAGAGCUGAGGUAACAUGAAGCACUCCUUCCCACUAUAGGGAUAACCUGGAGAUGCUGUGCUUCAGUUCCUCAACCAAGACCUUUCCCUUCAUGGAGAUUGGUCUUUGCUUCUUCUUUUGAAGUCUCCAUCUUCCCAGUAUAGCAAUAUAUAACAUCUAUUCACGUAUAAAACCACAUGCAAUUGAAUUUAUGUUGCUUCAGUCUGAAAAUAACAACUGACUGUGAUUAGUCUAACAUCUUGCUUCCUGUAUCUGAUUGGGUUGCUGUUUCUCUUUGGUUACUAAGGCAGCCAUGGGGACCUGGUACCAAGAGACUUUAGUAUUGUACACUUCCUCAGCCCUCACUGUGUGAGAUCACUUAGACUGUGCAUGUGCUUUACCAGUUAAACUUUCAAAGGACACAUUUUUUCUCUCAGUUUUGAAGAUAUUUUGCUUUAGAGCCACCAUAUUUCUUUGCUGUUUUUCUCUCUUUGUGCAAUAAAAUGCACUUUACUGUGUAUUCCAAUAUAUAAGCAGGUAUAACUUGACUGCACUCUUACCAAAACCUUGACACAUUAUUUGCUUUUCAUGAAACAGAGAAAUUGAAUUUUUAGUUAAAUAACUAUAGUUAUUUAUUUGCAAAGAAGAUUCAUAUUUACAUCUAUAUUGUUUAAUAGCCAUUUUUGUUUUUUAGAAAAAAAAUACUUUUUGAUAAGGGCUUACACAAGCAUCUAAUAUGCGAUUUUUAGUCAUCUUUUCAUCCUUAUCCAUAAUGAACAUUCUCAGUCUAAGAAAGCUAUACCACAAGUUGUCAGAAAAGAUCAAUCAGUUAUAUCCAGGAUGAACAAUUCAUGCAAUGAGGAGCAAUUGGCCAAACACUGCAUGCUUGAGACGGGUGACUAUUCCAAAAUAAAGUACUCUCUAGUCCCUGCCCCCUCAAAAUUUUUUUCUAGGCUAAUAUUGUAGGAGACACAAAAGCUAGACAAAACAAAUCAAUGUUUUGCCAAGAUGUGGCUGAAUAUAACGAAAGGCAGCAAAUGAAGUGGAUCGAAAGCAUAAAAUACAUUCAAUCCAGUUAGAAUUGAUUUAUCUUCAAAACAGAAUAAGCAGCUAGAAGAUAGAUGUACCACUUUUGUUAUAUUUCUCUGGCACUGGGCAAGCCUAUACGAUCCAGGGUGCCAAUUCACUAAUACAAAUGGAAAGAAUUUGCUUCUUUAUAAUAAAAGAUCUGUGCUAUGAUCACUGUUUUGAGAAAGGAGGGAGUAUAAACUGAUUGUGUGUGUGUUGUAGGGGGUGUUUACAGAAGAAUAUUGGCCCCAGAUCUCAAUGGGGAUCCCUGGCUCUGGCAUGUGUCUUGAGGUCCCAUGUUACCCUUUAAAUCUAGUACCCAGACCAGAGUUUCCCAAACUUGGUGACUCAUGGAACA